UUUCAAGCACACAAACAAAUUCAUUAAAUAAUAUAUUCAUUGAUUUAUAUUGAAAAUAUCAUUCAAAUUAAAAUAUCAUAUUAUAACAUCACUUAAAUUAGGCACUUAAGUCUAGGAUACUAUUGUGUAAAUGGGAUAAUAACGUUGGUACAUUUGUUUGCACAUUUUCUUAGUAUAUUCCAGUUCUGUUUAUAUUGUACGCAUUUUUAUAGCUUUACUCACAAGCUAGCUGUGUACACUAUGUACAAGUAUGGGUUAUGGUUAGUAAUAUGAUUUGCAGCAAUGUUUGUCCUUGCGAUGCUGUUCUCGAUGCCGUUUUUCAACGGGAAGCAAGUGUACCAGCAUUAUCAAGUUUAGCAUCGUGGCAGAUAAAGCUGCGAAUUACAUAAUGUGUAAAGAAACGCAACAAACUAUUAAAGAUAUUACCUUCAAUUUGCGUCCAAGAAUUUGAUACUUCUGAAGUUAGAGCGGGCAGCCUUGAGGAUGGACCAUACAUAACUUGACUACUGUUCUCUGGAUCUUAAUUACAGACAUAUUAUUAUUUUAGGAAGAG